UGUAGCAGUUUUUAAAGCACACAGUGACAAAGUGCUUCAAAGUUUGAAUAAAAUCACAUUACAAUAAGUGUACUUGCUAUACUUCUUCUUCUUCUUUCUUUAAACUUGUCUUGUUUCAUUUAUUUCUUUAGUUUUUAAUAAACAGUUUAGCUUUUCGUAACAUGAACGCUAACAUUUUCUCUUUCAGAUGCAGAUCCCAAAGCAAUAAUGAAAGAAAGGCAGAAGAAAGACAACCAUAACCUCACAGUUGAGAGGAGGCAUUGGUUCAACAUGCGAGUUGGGCACUUUGAUACCCGAGUCAUCAGACCCAGAGAUGCGCUGGAAUAAAGGCACCAUUCUCAAGGCUUCUGUAGACUACAUCAGGAAACUGCAGAAGGAGCA